rnacentral:rRNA from 1 species
GACGAACGCUGGCGGCGUGCCUAAUACAUGCAAGUAGAACGCUGAAGGAGGAGCUUGCUUCUCUGGAUGAGUUGCGAACGGGUGAGUAACGCGUAGGUAACCUGCCUGGUAGCGGGGGAUAACUAUUGGAAACGAUAGCUAAUACCGCAUAAUAGUAGAUGUUGCAUGACAUUUGCUUAAAAGGUGCAAUUGCAUCACUACCAGAUGGACCUGCGUUGUAUUAGCUAGUUGGUGGGGUAACGGCUCACCAAGGCGACGAUACAUAGCCGACCUGAGAGGGUGAUCGGCCACACUGGGACUGAGACACGGCCCAGACUCCUACGGGAGGCAGCAGUAGGGAAUCUUCAGCAAUGGACGGAAGUCUGACCGAGCAACGCCGCGUGAGUGAAGAAGGUUUUCGGAUCGUAAAGCUCUGUUGUAAGAGAAGAACGAGUGUGAGAGUGGAAAGUUCACACUGUGACGGUAUCUUACCAGAAAGGGACGGCUAACUACGUG